rnacentral:misc_RNA from 1 species
GUGAAUCAUCGAAUCUUUGAACGCAAAUUGCACUCUCCUCGGAGAGUAUGCCUGUUUGAGGGUCAGCCUAUAAAAAAUCGACAUCGUUGCUGUUUCGCGGUGACGUUCGUCGGAAAUUGGGUCAUCUUAAAUCCUUUUGGUUUUAAGCCACUUAAAAUUUUCUUUUUUUUUCUAUGAACUUUUCUAAGUUUUAUUUUUUCACACGUUUAAGAGC